GAUGAACGCUGGCGGCGUGCCUAAUACAUGCAAGUCGAGCGAACGGACGAGAAGCUUGCUUCUCUGAUGUUAGCGGCGGACAGGUGAGUAACACGUGGAUAACCUACCUAUAAGACUGGGAUAACUUCGGGAAACCGGAACUAAUACCGGAUGAUAUUUUGAACCGCAUGGUUCAAAAGUGAAAGACGGUCUUGCUGUCACUUAUAGAUGGAUCCGCGCUGCAUUAGCUAGUUGGUAAGGUAACGGCUUACCAAGGCAACGAUACAUAGCAGACCUGAGAGGAGGAUAAGCCAAACCGGAACUGAAACGCGGUCCGGACUCCUACGGGAGGCAGCAGUAGGGAAUCUACCGCAAGGGGCGAAAGCCUAACGGAGCCAAGCCGCGUGAGGGAGAAAAUUAUUGGGAUCGGAGAACUAUGUUAUUAGGGAAGAAGACAUGUGUAAGUAACUGUGCACAACUUGACGGUACCCAAGCAGAAAGCCACGGCUAACUACGUG
rnacentral:rRNA from 1 species